GUCGAACGAAGCACAUACGGCGGAACUUUUCGGAGGGAAGAUGUAUGUGACUGAGUGGCGGACGGGUGAGUAACGCGUGGGUAACCUGCCCCAUAGAGGGGGACAACAGUUGGAAACGACUGCUAAUACCGCAUAAGAAAGAAUUGCCGCAUGGCAGUUUUUUGAAAGAUUUAUCGCUAUGGGAUGGACCCGCGUCUGAUUAGCUAGUUGGGAGGGUAACGGCCUACCAAGGCAACGAUCAGUAGCCGGCUUGAGAGAGUGAACGGCCACAUUGGGACUGAGACACGGCCCAGACUCCUACGGGAGGCAGCAGUGGGGAAUAUUGCACAAUGGGGGAAACCCUGAUGCAGCGACGCCGCGUGAGUGAAGAAGUAUUUCGGUAUGUAAAGCUCUAUCAGCAGGGAAGAAACCCACCCUCCGGGGUGGCUGACGGUACCUGACUAAGAAGCCCCGGCUAACUACGUGCCAGCAGCCGCGGUAAUACGUAGGGGGCAAGCGUUAUCCGGAUUUACUGGGUGUAAAAGGGAGCGUAGGUGGCAAGGCAAGUCAGAUGUGAAAACCCGGGGCCCAACCCCGGGAGUGCAUUUGAAACUGUCUGGCUAGAGUGCAGGAGAGGUAAGUGGAAUUCCUAGUGUAGCGGUGAAAUGCAU
rnacentral:rRNA from 1 species